rnacentral:rRNA from 1 species
CUACACAUGCAGUCGAANGAACUCUUCGGAGUUAGUGGCGGACGGGUGAGUAACACGUGGGAACGUGCCUUUAGGUUCGGAAUAGCUCCUGGAAACGGGUGGUAAUGCCGAAUGUGCCCUUCGGGGGAAAGAUUUAUCGCCUUUAGAGCGGCCCGCGUCUGAUUAGCUAGUUGGUGGGGUAAUGGCCCACCAAGGCUACGAUCAGUAGCUGGUCUGAGAGGAUGACCAGCCACAUUGGGACUGAGACACGGCCCAAACUCCUACGGGAGGCAGCAGUGGGGAAUCUUGCGCAAUGGGCGAAAGCCUGACGCAGCCAUGCCGCGUGUAUGAUGAAGGUCUUAGGAUUGUAAAAUACUUUCACCGGUGAAGAUAAUGACUGUAGCCGGAGAAGAAGCCCCGGCUAACUUCGUGCCAGCAGCCGCGGUAAUACGAAGGGGGCUAGCGUUGCUCGGAAUUACUGGGCGUAAAGGGAGCGUAGGCGGACAUUUAAGUCAGAGGUGAAAUCCCGGAGCUUAACUUCGGAACUGCCUUUGAUACUGGGUGUCUUGAGUGUGAGAGAGGUAUGUGGAACUCCGAGUGUAGAGGUGAAAUUCGUAGAUAUUCGGAAGAACACCAGUGGCGAAGGCGACAUACUGGCUCAUUACUGACGCUGAGGCUCGAAAGCGUGGGGAGCAAACAGGAUUAGAUACCCUGGUAGUCCACGCCGU